UUUUUUGGAAGUCAGGUAAAAAGUACUUACAAGAUUAUCAAUGAGUGAUAACUUGAAUAAUAUCUAAUCACUAAUCAGUAUCUUUAAUUUUACAGUGAACAUCCUGUAUCAUUCGUCAUAUAGUAUACCAGUUAUAAUGGUCAAAAUAUCAAAACAUUGGAAUUUAGUAUAAGAAGCAAUGAAUAUCCAGACUUGUUUAAGUAUAAAACUGGUUCCACUCUAGAGUAAUAAGAACAAAACUUCACACACUACAACCUACGCUACCUCACUUUAUUACUAAUAAUAAUACUAUGGUAAUAUUGUGAAUGAAAACAACACGCAUUUGUAAAAUAAACUUUCUUUUUGCUAACAUAAGAACCAUUUUGUGUUAUCAGAAAAUUGUAUGCAUAAAAAAUCAGCUGAUUUUUACUAAUCGUCAAAAAAGAUCAAUAGAAUACUGAUUAAUGUGAAAUAUGAAACACACUUCAUGAUCCAAAAUUAGUUUAAUAGCUCUACUUUACUUAUUACAAUAAUAUUAAGUGGGUACUAAUUAAUACACCAGCUAGGUACGUGGAAUUUACAAAAUAGGUAGAUGCCCACUUAUGUCGGCAAACCAAAGGCACAGGAUAAUUUUAGUACAUUUAUCUACGUAAGUAUUAAAAGUUUGUGAAAUCUA